CAGCAGCCGCGGUAAUACAGAGGGUGCGAGCGUUAAUCGGAUUUACUGGGCGUAAAGCGUGCGUAGGCGGCUUCUUAAGUCGGAUGUGAAAUCCCUGAGCUUAACUUAGGAAUUGCAUUCGAUACUGGGAAGCUAGAGUAUGGGAGAGGAUGGUAGAAUUCCAGGUGUAGCGGUGAAAUGCGUAGAGAUCUGGAGGAAUACCGAUGGCGAAGGCAGCCAUCUGGCCUAAUACUGACGCUGAGGUACGAAAGCAUGGGGAGCAAACAGGAUUAGAUACCCCUGUAGUCCCUGUCUUUAUACA
rnacentral:rRNA from 1 species